GCUGUGACCUGGAAGUGCACCCACAGGCGCAUCUGUUUCUUCUGCACGGUGCCCCAGCCCAGAGCUUGUGUAAGCCCUGAGUUACUGAUUUCAAUGCUGGUGGCCAAGCCUGAGGAGACCCAGUGCCCCCCAGGGUCAGGCCGGGAUCAGGUGAGGCUGCGGUGAGGCAGCCGCUCAAUUAUCUUGUGCUUCUGGAACUUUCUAGGCGCAGUCCUCUUCUUUGGCCCCUCUGAAAGACUGCACCUCAGGACCGGGUCCCUGUGUCAGGAACAGAAAGGUUCUUUCUGUGGAGAGUUUGGCACGGUGGCCUUCCUGUCACUGGGCUGCACACAUGGAGGAGAAAGCAAAAGCUUAGAGAACCCCCAAGAAUCCCUCUGUGCUCUGUUCCAGCCUGCCCCCAGAUUCUGACACCUCAUAGUCUUGUGUCCUGAUUCACACCAGUGGGGAGUCUUGAGCUGUUGGGGGAGUCUGAGGAGGAUACCUGGCCACCCUGGGACUGGAACUGACUUUUAAGAGGGACCCUGAGACACCUAUGGUGGACUUUUGAGUGCCGCCUCACGUUGGAGCUGAGUGCUUCCUGCUGGGACCGCGUGAUCUUCCUGGGAUACCAGGGUGGCACAGCAACCCAUGGUGCUCUGGAUGCUCUUGCUGAAUCUGUGUGUAGCUUAGAAGCGUCAUGGAGCUCUUCAUUGGAACAUGUGCUAAGCCCUGGCUCUAAGAACAAGGAGGUGAGCAGCCAAGAGCAAUACUUGCAGGAAGGGCCAGGCUGCCGGUGUCAGAGGAGUGGUAGUGGAUUCAACAGGACCCUCAGGUUUGUCCAUCCUCGCCUGGUGAGUCUUCUUGAAAUGCUUGUGCAUAUCAUUCAUAUACUUCUAUAUUAUAAAUUUAAUAUCAUAUGUUCUAAAUAGAUUUUAAAUUUUAUAUUUAAAACAUAUAUGUGCUUGGAGGUAUCAUGUACAGUUCCAGGAGGUGUGAGCCUACCUGGCUGAAUUCUGAUGCCAGGAUAGGUGAACCCGCAGGUGAGUCAUCUUCUUUUGGGUAGGCAAUUUAGAUGCCCGGUGACUGUGUGAAUUUCCAGGUCUCUUGUUUUAUUUUCUGGAUUUAUAGUUCUACUUAGUGUAUAGGAGCUGAGAAAAUGGAUCUGGUCACCAAAACGGUAGUUCCUGCUUGCAAGAUUUGCUUCCUGUUUUUCCUAAUUUGCUUAGAUGGUUUAUCUCAGUUUUCAUUAAGGGUUCUCCAACACAGCAGUGAUAGCAUUGAGUGAUAACCCCAAAAAGAUGGUUGUAUAUUGUUGUCACUGCCCCACUGAAUUCUAAUUCUGCCUCUGUGAUAUCCAUUGUUCCCUAAUUUUAUGAAAAAGUUCCUGAGGAAUACAUUGUUCUGUUGUGUUAAUGAAUAUGGUUAUAUGGGGAGACAUAUCAUGUAAAAUUUACAUAUCCCAAUCAUAUUAUUGCAUUAACUAGGCAUAUGGGGACUCUGUUUAUCAUCAGAGGCACCUAGAUCCGAGGAUGGCACCGAAAUUUCUAGUAGUAAGCAUUACUUCCUAAGUAUAUUCGUUUCAGUUAUAAAACUGUAAGGUUCUGAAUAACUCAGUAGAGGUUCUUUUUACUUCUAAAUUAGAUUUUGAAAUAUUGAAAUCAUUUGGAUUAUGAUAUUUCUAGACCAUUUUUAGGUCUGAGAAGGCAGGGGCAUUGUUUCUGCACAGUAUCCACAAUGGUUGCCAUAUAAUUGGUUCUAAAACUUCAGUUGAUGAAAUGAAAUCCCUAUUUGUCCCUGUGUUUCAAACAACACAAAAUUUCAAAAUCUGUAGGUAUUGUGUUCUGUGGUUUGGUUCUUACAGUAUGUGGUGAAUUAAGUCUUCCUUCCUUCUGGUUAGCAGUUACUAGUGUUGACACCCAAGGAUCAUUCCUUGAUCCUCAUUGUAUGAGAUGCUGACCAGUGACUACUCUGAAACAGCCCCUUGGUGCAAGUCCUCAUGGAUGUUCCAGUUUCCUCAGUAUCCACUCUUGGUGUUCCUGUUAGUGCUGAUUGUUCAAAUCUAGAAGUUGAAAUGACCUCAUGUUAAGUCCAGGUGUUUGUUCUCACUGGUCUUCCCAUCCUAGACAGCCUUAUCUCUGUACUGUGUUUCAGGAAGGUCUUGGCUUUUACUCCCAUCAUUAGCUAGACCUGUUAAUAUUGCCCACAGUUUUCUCGUUUUGGCUAUUUUAGAGCUUGGUUCCUUGAUUCCAUAAUUCUUUUCUCUUACACACAACACAACAAGAAAAAUCUGUUCUUUUGUUUUCUCAUGUUCCCCAUCCACAGAUGUUCUCUGAAAACAGUCACCAGGCAUCUCAAAGGCUGGCUGGUCCCUACACCCUUCUCAAAGCCACAUGAAUAUGUGAUUCUUUUGCUUUUCACUUUUAUGUCUCAAUUCUGUCACGUUUUCCACACCUCUGCUCCUGUGACCAUCAUAAAACUUUAGCAUUUCCCACAAAAAUCCUCGGCUAGCAAUUUCUAAUGUACUACUAAUAAGAAGUUAAAAUAUAGAAACUUUCUGGGGAGAUUCCAAAAUUCGAGUGGUUUAUGCCAAACAUCUUAAGAUGCUUUUCCUCUGUUUAACGAAAGUCAUAUCUAUGGGGGAAAACCAGAUGGAGAGUUUGCUGCAAACAAUGCCUUUGUUUCACCUUUAUACAAUUUUGUUUGUGAGUUAUGUAGGCCUCAAUAAUUAUGAAUGGAAAAACUGAAACUGUGACUUGCAGUUCAAUAUUGCAAAUAUUAUAAAGCUUUCUACUGAAGUGCUGUAGUGAGAGAACAGGCAUGGAGUCCAGGAAAUCCUUCAAUGAAUUGGUAUAUGUGUAGUUUUCAGAGUGCUGCUUUCAAAGACAUUGAAACUUUGUAAAUAUUUUCUUACAUAUGACGUUAAAUUUAAAAUUGCUGCUUCAACAGACACUGAGCUCUAUGUGAUUGGUAACCCCUCCUACACUAAUGAAUCACCUUGCUUGAUUUCCCCACCUGAUUACUUUGGAAGAUGACAUGUGAGUGUCAAAUGGGGAAAGAAAGGUUUUUUUUAAGAUUUAUUUAACUAUUUGAAAGACAGAGAUAUAGAGAGGCAGGGGCAGAGAGAGAGUCUGCUGGGUCACUCCCCGUAGGGCCACAAUUGCCAGAGCUGAGCUGGUAUGUAGCCAGGAGCCUGGAGCUUCUUCUGGGUCUCUCACGUGGGUGCAGGGGCCCAAGCACUUGGGCCAUCUUCCACUUUCCUAGGCCAUAUCAGAGAGCUGGAUCGGAAGUGGAGCAGUGGGGACUCAAACCAGUGCUCUUAUGAGAUGCCGGCACUACAGGCAGAAGCUUUUCCUGCUAUGCCGCAGUGCCAUCCCCAAGAAAUAUUCUUGUGGUAGACUAAUGUUCAUGGUGUAUAGCCCUCUGCUCUGUGCAGGUAGAAUUUGAGUAAUUCUUGGCAGACCCCUAAAUUUUGGAGGUACAUAGGGAUACCAUGAUCAGUGUAAUGGGAUCCACAGUUUUCCAGAGAAAUACUUCAUGAUAUCUGCUGGGGUCCUGCCAUUUAUGAAAAUGGGUUCUAAAGCAACCUGAUCGGUGAAGACAUUGCCACCUAUUGAUCCAGUGAAGCAAGUCCAGUGUGAGCACCCCUGACCCUGGCAGAGGCUGCAGCCCCUGGUGACUAAGAUGCUGUAGGCCUGUGCUGCUACUCAUUCCACGGGGAAGGCCCUGCCAUACUGCUGUGAGCAUCCUGGGUUAAUAUUUUGGUAUUGCCAUGUUUUGGUUUGUUCUUCAACUUAAAUACAUGGUAUCUCCAUUUGGUUUGUAUAUUUCAUCUUGCAGUUUUCACAGCUAAAUUUCUUUUUUUAAUAAUUUUUAUUUAUAUAAAGGUGAACAUAGAGCAUGUACUUGGCACCUUUCCCUCCUCUCCCCAGCAUGCUGCCCUCCUUCCUCCUUCCUUUCUUGUGAUUACAAAAUAAACAAAAAAAUGUCAUUGUGAAAAUUAUAGGA
ensembl:lncRNA